rnacentral:lncRNA from 1 species
UAGAAUAUAGGUUUAAUGGGUAUAAGAGACACCUAGAAUUCAUGAAAAUGGAAAAACAAUGCGUUAUAUUAAAUUCUCAUAUCAUAAAUAAACUGUUUUUCAGGUCCAUCUUCAUACAAAUUCUUUUCAUUUCAGUUGGAUAGAAUCUAAUGCAACUAUUAGAUUUUCAAAUCAUAGAUGAUGAGUUGUAUUAUUUAGAAGGCUUUCUGUCUGAAAUUUGAUGAUCAAAGUUGAUUCUAAAAGGUUCUCAAGGCAAAGGAUUAAAUUGUUUGAUCACCAUAAUUCAAGAUCACAGAAAACUCAUCACCUAUUCCACAAACCAGAUUCAGCAGAAAGGUAUAUCAGUAUAAAACAUGAACAUGCUUCAUUUGUAAGAUCGUGUGCUUUAUAAACAGCAGAUCAUUUGUAAGUCUCACACAAAGGGUGUGUAGAAACCUCUGGAAACAAACACACAAUAUGUUUGUACCUGGGAGGAGCUCUAGCAAGUAUAUAUGACUUUCACAUAAAUGCAAGUCUAGAAAUUAAAGAAUAAUAGGUUUUCCAGCGUUUUCACCUUCCUGACAUAAACACAGCAUCAUAUUCUCCACGACCAGCUGCACUAAUUCGCUGCUUCAGUCUUUUGAGAGAUGGUAGAACUUCAAACGCAGGAGGUUCUGCAGAGGAAGAAAAAAGGAAAACAUGAGAAGAUAAUUAAAGUCAAAUGCAUCAGAACAGUACCAAACUUCAAUGAGAAUCAAAUAUAACCAUGAUAUGAAGGAUUGAUGUGCAAGAGAGUAAGCGACACAAUUGAUAUUUCAGUAAGUAGUACAUACAAUUAUAAAAUGAGAAUAGAAUAGUGGAAUCUCAGUUCAAGAAAAUCAAAUCAAAGCCAAAGUGAGAAAAUACAUAGCUAAAAGCAUACCUAAAUCAUUAAUACAAACAUCUUGUGAGAUACCAAGUUUUGAGAUCUUCUCCAACAAUGUUAAAGGAUCAACCUUACUAGUCUGGUCCAUACGUAGACACUGUAUCAUUGGAAGUUGUUAAAUUCGUCACUAAAAAUCAGGGGAGGGGGGAGUAUGCUUUUAUUACUACUCCGAAAAGACAAAUACCUUGUAGACUUCAGCAGUCGAACAUGCUUGUGGGGGCUUUAUGAGAACCAUCGGAACGUCCAAAGAUACUGGUGGAGGAAUAUUCUGAACAACCUGCACAAGUGAAAGAAAAAAUCUUAAAUAAAAUAUAAUGAUUGGGAAAUCACAUUGAAUAUAAGUUUAGCUGCCUGAAAAUGGUUAAAAGGGUUACAAAUGCAUGUGAGUUAUGUAUUCAUUGUCACACAGAAUAGUUAAGUAAAUCACUUCACAUUCAAUAUUUUAGGAACACACAAAUUCCUUACCAUUCAUGACAAAAUGAUCUGGUGCCUGUACUAAAUUAUUAAAGGUUUCAGGAAUAAAGAUAAAUCUAGGUGAUCUGAACUAACAAUGGUAAAUGUUGGGUCCACUUGGUCAUACUAUAUACAAUAAUAUCACUUGCUCAUAUUUAAUCCGCAGAGAAUGUCUAUAAAAAAUUUGUACCACGACUCUUUAAGUUGUAUUCUAGGACAGUGGCAUAAGUAUCUUCACAAUUAUAGCAUCUAUUCAGAAUUGUAAAAUAUUACCUAUUGGUGCCAUACAUUAUGAAUUCACAUAGCAAGAUAUAACAAUUUGCGGUUAUUCUCAAAUAUGACUUUGAGAAUGGAAGGUACCUAAAUUUUUGACUAACCUCUCCUCGACCAGUGCAAUAGGCUGCUCCCUGAGAGAAAAAGAAGGGAAUAUCUGAUCCAAUCUCACUUGACCAUUCUUGGAGUUCUUUCUCUGAGGCAAGAGAACCACUGAAUUGAUUUGCUGCCCAUAGUGCAGUUGCAGCAUUGCUACUUCCCCCACCAAGCCCUGCCCCAGUAGGCACCCGUUUAUCCAGAUGAAUCUGAAAACACGUGAAUAUACACAAUACACGUUAAAUCUUGUGGUAAGUUGAGUUUAGAUUAAAACAAAGAAGCAUGCAGCUUUUAAUUAAAAAUGAAAAAAUUAGGAACAUAAUAGACAUCGUUGCUUCGUACCCAAAAGAACUUGUCACUGCCAGUCUUCUUCCUAUAAAGGUUAAGCGCCUUAAUAAUCUGUUAAAAGAGAAUUUUCACAUAACAUUCUCUGAAGUCUGAACAAAUAAAUGACCAGAAGAAGAAAAGAAUGAGAAGGGAAACAGUAGUACCAGAUUUCUAUCAUCAAGGGGCACCCCAGACACAUUGGUUGACAGGCUAUCCUUGGUUUUUGAAGGUGACACAGAGAACUUAAUUAUGUCACCUAGACUUAUCACCUGAAGACUCGAAAAAUGCAAGUAAGACAUGUUCAAGAAUACAUAAACCAUAUUAAAAGGUACAUGAAAUAAAAGAGCACUGAAGUAGAUGCCAAAUUAUGAUAACCUCUUACAUGAAAAAGGGAUGCCAAGUCAUGAUAUCCGUCUUCCCUCUUGUUUGUUAUUCUCAAGAAAACAUUUAUCUGCAGAAGAAAGGGUGGCAAUUUCAACACAAAACAAACAAAUUUGGGUAGCCUCCAAGCAAAAGCAUGGGGAAGGUGAUUACCUUGCAAGGAGAGAACAAAGUAAGCCUUGAAAGGGGAGCUUCCCUGUCGACUUCAUCAGCCAACUUGUUAAUCCUUCCUUCGGGGUCAAACGUAAUCUAAUCUCACCAACAAAAGAUUACGACUUUAAGAAAACAUCUAUUAAAAAGCAAAAUCCAAACCCAAAACAAAUGUCAUUCUAUAUUAGGAAGGGGAUCUCCAACAUUCUACACAAACAACCACACUGAAACUUCGAUCCAAAACAUAACACACUAAAAAGAAAAUUCAAACUUUAUAGCUAAACAAAUGUAAUUCUACUCAAAGAACACUACUGAAACUUCAAUCAGUCCAAAGCAAAAUAUGUAACCUCUAAUUGUCUCCUAGAAGUGUUGGAAUCAGAAACCAUGGCUCUGACCGAGUGGGGUUUCUGAAACCGAAGCUUAGAAUGAAAAUUGGAUGACCCAUUUGGUCUGAAUUGAGCAAAAUGGCUACUUCUGAAGGAGUUUUGGGAAGUGGGGAAGACAUAGCUAUUGCAAAGAAGGUGAGACGAAGCCAUGGGUAGGUGAAAGAUUGGAACUUCAAUUCAGCUGCAAAUUGGGUACAUAGAAAAAUGUAAUCUAAGUGAUUAUGUGCUUCUUGUUUGUUUAUUCUUCCUACCAAACCUGGUCAAAUUCAAUUGGGCCGGUAGAAAAAAUUAUUAAGAAUGGUUUUAAGACUGUUUUAAACUCUAAUUCAAAUGGUCAAAGCCGACAAGAUGUUGUUUUUUAUUUUCAGAGCCUGGCUAGCAGAGGUGGGGCUUUAAUGGGAGAACUGAUUAAAGAAGCACUAAUUUUUUUAGUAUACAUACACGUGCAACGCACGGAAAUAUUUUAAAUAUUUCAUAUUUAAAUAAUAAUAUUAUAAUAAAUAAAUUACAUAUAUUAACUUAAAUUUGUUUUUUAAUAUAUUAAAAUUAAAUCAAUUAAGAAUGUUGGUAGAGUCAAUUAUAUUUAUAAAUCAAAAUUACUAAAUAAUUUAAGAAUACAUUAAAUAUAUAAAAAUAAAAAUAUUAUGAGGAUUCAGGAUGAUGUUAGUUGCUCUCCUUUGAAUUUCAAAUUUUGAUUAACAUUUAUAAUGUUAGAAAAAUAAUUAAAUAAGAUUUCUUAAAUACGUAAAUAAUAAAAUAUAUUAAAUAAUUAUACCUUUUAUUUGAUUACUCUUCAUAAUAAAAUUAGUUCUCUGAAUAGUUUUAUUUUGAUGUGACUAUGUUAAUUAAUUUGAUAAAUGUAAAAAUUAACUAUACGUACGGUAUUUGUCAUAUACCGUAUGCAUAUGAGGUAGUAAUGAAGAAUAUAAAUUUAAAAAUCAUAUAUUGGUGUAGCUGUCUUAUUAUGCAUGUUAACCAAAUAGAAAGUGGUAAACAUAUUUUUCUAAAGACAACAAGCCAGAACUUAAAAUUGUAGAAACUAAUUGAAGGAAAUAACAAAAGACAAAAUGUUGUAAAAACUGAUUAAACGUAAUUGCACGAAAUUGCAAAAGUAUUGAAUUGAUACAUACAUUUUGAUUUACUUCAAUAAUAUAUAUAAUAAAAUUAUGAUUAUUGGAAACUAUAAAAUAGGAAUACUAACAACCCUGUAAGCUGACCAUUAAUGCAAUAAUAACAGUAAAUAAUUUAAGGGUAAUAAAAUCUGAAUUAAUAACCAACAUCCUCCCUUAAUUCUGAUUUGGAACAACCUUCAUGCCCAACAGAUCUCUUAACUUGAUGAAAACAUUGAUCUUCAAUGGCUUAGUGAGAAUAUCUGCAAUCUGAUAUUCUGAUAUGCAGUAUUCCAAUUUGAUGAUGUUCUUCCCAACUUGGUCUCAUAGGAAGUGAUAUCGAAUAUCAAUGUGUUUACUUCUUUGAUGAAAAACUGGAUUCUUUGCAAGAUUAAUUGCAGAGACAUUGUCAACAUAAAUCUUGAUUGGAACAUCUAGAUUAAAACCAAUUUGAGUCAUGAUAUUGUUGAACCAAACUGAUUGACAAGCACUUGCUGUUGCUACAUAUUCAGUUUCACAAGUAGAUAAUGCAACAAUUGACUGUUUCUUUGAUGACCAAAAGCAAACCGUCUUUCCAAUCAUAAAACAAUUACCAUUAGUGCUCUUCCUCCCAUCUGAAUCUCCACCCCAAUCACUGUCUGAGUAUCCGACGAUCACAAUCUUCUUAGAUGAAGAGUAAAAUAGACCAAAAAUUGUAGUAUCUUUGAUGUAGCACAUAAUUCUCUUUACAACUUGUAAAUGAACUUGUCGAGGUGACUCCAUGUAUCGACUGACCAAUCUCACAGCAUAACAUAUGUCGGGUCUAGUACACGUGAGAUAUCUAAGACUCCCAACAAUCUGCUUAAAGUAUGUUGCAUCUAUAGUUCGUCCAUCACCUUCCUUCGUGAGCUUAAUUCCAGAUUCAAUUGGAGUCUUAAUUGAGUUUGAACCCUCCAUCUUAAACUUCUUUAAAAAUGCAAUAGCAAAUUUCAUCUGAUGAAUGAAGAUUCCAUUGUCUCCUUGGAUGACCUCAAUGCCCAAAAAGUAGGACAUAAGACCGAGAUCAAUCAUCUCAAAUUCCUUCAUCGUGAUAUGCUUGAAGUCACCAAUCAUUUUGAGAUUACUUCUUGUAAAAAUCACACCAUCAACAUAAAGACAUAAAAUUAGCAAAUCUCCAUAAUCAUUAGUCUUUACAUAAAGACCAUGAUUUGAUGCACAUUUUUUGAAUCCAGUGGCAUGAAGAAAUGAAUAAAUCCUUUUGUUCCAAGCUCUUGGUGCUUGUUUAAGACCAUAUAAAGCCUUAGUUAGUAUGUACACCUUCUCCUCUUUGCCAGAUUGUAUGAAACCCGACGACUGCUUUACAUAAACCUCUUCAUCAAGUGGGCCGUUUAGAAACGCAGACUUGACGUCCAUUUGGUGAAUUUUCCAUUGCCUUUGCGCAUCUAAAGCAAUGAUUAAUCUCACUAUUUCCAUUCGAGCUACAGGAGAAAAUAUUUCUUCGUAAUCAUAGCCUUCUCUUUGCUCUAAUCCCUUUGCCACCAACCUCGCCUUGUACCUAUCAAUCUCACCAUUUGCUUUCACUUUAAUCUUGCACACCCACUUCACAUCAAUUGCUUUGUGUCCUUUUGGAAGAUCAGUGAGCUGCCAUGUAUUUUUUUCUCAAUCGACAACAAUUCUUCAUUCAUAGCCUCUUGCCAUUUGGGGUGUUGAAUUGCAUCUGCAAGUCUCACUGGUUCCUAAUCUGCAAGAAAAGCAAAGUGAACCAAUUCUCCAUUGUCAUCAACUUCAUCAUCAAGAUUUGCUUCAUAAUCUUGAAGGUGUAUAGGUUGUCGUUGUUGCCUUCUUGGUCGCUCCAUCAUAGUUGCAAUUGGAGCUGGAACUUCAGGUUGAACUGUAGGUGCUUCAAGAGUGACUUCAUCUUCCACAUCAUCGUUCAAAAAGUAAAUAUAUCAUUUUUUUCGAAUCCAUUUCAGCUGUUGCAUUCCAUUACCAUUCCUCAUCUUCAGUAAAUGUAACAUCACGACUGACAAUCACCUUCUUUGUCAUUGGAUUGUAAAGUUUGUAUUCCCCAUGCUUAUAUCCAAUGAAAAUGGUCUUCACUGCCUUAUCAUCCAACUUCGAUCUUGUUGCCUUGGGGAUAUGAGCAUAAGUAAUUGACCCAAAUGUUGAACAAGAUGCUUUGAUGUCUCCAAAUCCAAGUGGAAAGCUUGAAGACCUUACUGCUAUUGUGUGUGUGUCUAGUUGUUUAAACUUGUUAAUUCACUCCUUAAGAUGAUCCAAGUUCAUUUGAAUCUUUAACCUUUUGAAAAGAUGAGUUUUCUAAAAAGCUGUUGAAAUUUCAACAGGUUGUUUUACCUUAGUAUUUUUUGAAAAGGUUUUGAAAAGCUUGACUUUGCGGUCAAGUCAAUUCAACCGAUUGUUUCGACAAAACAAUCGAUUGUUUUUCUGAAAACCUUAAAAAAAAAUUGUUAAGUGGUUUUAAUUUGUUUUAAAUGAUUCUAACUACCUUGGCUCCUUUAUUAAAUGUUUUUGACCACUUGGUUGGUCUAUAUAAAGGUGGUUUUACACUCCUAAUCUUGGAGUAAGAGAAAGAGUUUAUCAAAAACAGUUUUCCCAAGAUUUGAAAGUGUUUUGGAUCAUUCUUAAGUGUGUGGAAUAUGAUUGGGUUGUAUUCUGAACUUUAAGCUUUGUAAUACCUAGGUGUAUUCUAUUCCUUUCUUCCUUGAUUAUUGUAUUUCUAUAGUUGUGUUGCCAAGGAGUGUUGUGUGUUCUUUAGGUGUUCAAGAUCAACACUCUUGGUGUGGUUUGCCAAAGGUAGUGUGUUUCUUGAGGGGUUCAAGGUCACUACUUUGGUGAGUGGUGUUUGUAAUCUGGUUUUGAUUGCAUAGUGGAUUACCCAGUGGUUUCUGAGGAUUGGAUGUAGCUCUUGGUGUAAGAGUGAACCAGUAUAAAUUGCUUGUGUGCUUAUCUCUUACCCUUAACUCUUUAAAUUCUGUUUUUAAGUUGUUUAAGUUCUAAUUGGUAUAAACAACUGAUUGUUUCGAAGAAACAACCGAUUGUUUUUCUGAUAUAAUCUUAAAAACAAUUUUGGGUCUUUGUUUCCUUGAUUCUUUUCUUUGUAAUUCAUCAUUGAAUUUCAUUAUACCUUCAAAGUUUGCGAAAAUCUCGUAUAAACAAUUCACCUCCCUCUUGUUUAAGGCCAUAUAUUUUAACAAUUGGCAUCAAGAGCUUGGUUCUUGAAAGAUAUUCAAGUUUGAUCCAAAAAACCUUUUUCUUAUGGCUGAAAAAUUACCUUUUGGGGAGGGUGCCUCGAUAAACAGGCCACCUUUAUUUUGUGGUUUGAACUAUCAGUUUUGGAAGGUUAGAAUGAAAAUCUUUGUUGAAUCACUAGAUAGAUGAAUUUGGGAUGCAAUAGAUUGUUCGUUUAUGUUCAUUUAUGUUCAAUAUUUCAUCAAUUUCUUCAUUGUCUUUAAAUAGAAUGGGUUGCUCGUAUAAUAGAGGAAAAGUCAACCUUUGAACUGAAGGCCAUCUAGUUGACAAUCUAAUUGAAAAAUCAUGUCAAGCAACAAACAAUGGGAAUUGAUAACAUAAUUUUCUUACUUUAGCUGACAUAAAUUGAGUGUUGAGCAAUAUUGAGUUAUAAUAUCAAAACAUUUUAAUCACCAUUGCAAUAACUUAAAUGUAGAAUUGAUGGAAGGAAAUAUAUGAAAUAUAAGAACCUAAUUUUCUAUGUGUCAUACUUGUAUUGUUAAGUCUUAGAAAAAAAAUAGGAAGUAGAAGUAUUAUUUUGUCCAAAUGCAAAUAUAGGAAUAUAAGAUUUUGAUAAGACAUUAUAUUUAUUACAAUUUUGCAGUAGAAACAGAAGUAUGAUCAGAACAUCUAUAUUACCCUGCAAAUUCAAAUAAGAAAUAGUUAUUAACAAAUGAUCUACUGAUUGUUGGCUUAUAACAUUGGCGAAGAAAAAAAGUAGACCUUUGGAAAGUGUUUGACCUUGGCUUUUAUUUAUAGUCAUUGCAAAGCACAAGUAUACUGUGAAUUGUCUUCUUUGAAACUUGAAAGGAUGUCCUGAAUAUGAAGUAAUCAAGUCCAUUCUAGGAAUGAAUAUUUUAUGACCAAUGUUUUUACCUGUAAUCACUGUACCACCAAUAGCAUUCUUCCCCAACUCAUUAAUUAUUACAUAGUCCAUUAGCUUGAUCAAUAUUUCUUAAAAGCAUUAUUGGGACACCAAUUUUGAGUUUUAGGCAAUGAUUAGGAAUCCUGAGCAUCUAAUAUCGUUUAAAAACUCUAAUGUCAGCUAAAAUGUCUUCAUGUUCAUCAAAUUGGGAAGGUGUCUUAACUUAGGUAAGUAACUUCUUCUCUAGGCAUUAAACAUAUGAUAAAUUCAUUAACUUGAUCUACACAUUCAGUUGUCGGACAAAGUAUUGCACCGUCAUAAAAAAAAGUUAGCAUUGCUCAUAUUAUCCAAGAAUUUAGGAUACACAAAUUCAACUAAGCUAAGUAAAGGUGAAUCACUGUUUUCGACUAAGAGAUGUUUGGGUAUUUCAAUUAUGCCUUCACCUAUUUCAUUUAAGUUCAUAUUUCCAUCACCAAUCUUUAGAAUCCAAUCAACAAAUUCUUUGAUAUCUCUAGCACUUUCAACUGAUUCUUGACUUAUUAAUCUCAUGAUCUCUAGAAGUUUAAAAACUUUGCAAUAUUUUCAUAAUUGAGAAAAGUUUAUUGUUGUCUUUACAAUGUCGUAUAUUGAUCCCUUCGUGUCAACAGGCAGAAUUUGCCUAAAAUCACCUCCUAAUACAACAACUUUACCAUCAAAAGGCUUGUUACUCUUAUCUUCAUCUACAACCUUCAUAAUAAUAAUAUCAUAAAAUAAUUAUAAUCAAAAUACUAUAAAAUUGUAUAUAUUAAUUUUAGUUAUCAUUUUUUAGAAUGAUUUGAUAUAAUGUAAUGUGUAGAUUUUGGAACAUAUUAAAUAUCACGUGUAAACAACUCAUAACAUGUUAGUUAUAAUAAAUAAUUCAAUAAUUUUCAAAUAUAAAUAAUUUAAAUUUUCAAAUAAAUAAAUUCUUAAUGUAGUAAGUGAAAGUCAUUAUUAACAAUGUUUACUGCUUCAACCAUCUUUAUUUUAAUAGUAAUAAUUUUUUUAGUUUUUUAUGUAGAGUUUGUAGAAGUAGCAUUGACUUUAAUUUGUGACUUUAUUUGAACAUUUGUUAACAUAUUUUAAGAAAUACUUUGUUAAAUUAGACUUAGUUGCAAUAUUUUGUAUUAAUGUGAGCUUGAUUAUUGAAAUAAAUAAAAAGAUAAUGACAAAAUCAUUUUGUUCCAAAUAAUAUGAGAUAUUAAAAAUAAUCACCUGAGAUUUUCAAUUUAUUGAAAUUGAUUCUAGUUAAAGAAGAUUGAUAAAUAUUUGCAAUAGAUAGAGAAAAAUAUUUGCAAUAUUUAUUUGAAGAAAUUUGUUUAAAAAAAUGGAUUUAAAUGAUAAACAGGAAACAUUGCCAAAUAAAAUAUUUUAUAAACCAUACAGAUUUAAUUCUUUUUGUUUUUAUUACUAAUUAACUUUUAAAAAAAUCAAAAAAAUAUUUAUGGCUAUAUGCAUAUCUAUUUGGAUUUGUGCAAUUACACAAUGUUUGGAAUUCUUCUCCAUUUUUACUCUAAUAAUUAUUGUCUAUUAAUCUUCUUCUCUAUUUUUAUACCAUUCUUCCUCGUUAUAUUUUUCAAGUUGUUUCAUCCCGAAUCACUCAAAUCGAAUCUCAUUAUUUGGUAUGUUAUCUGCUUCAAAAUCAAUCUUGUCACCUUCUUUGAAAUCAUUUAAAAUACAUAAAUUCUUCAAUCCUGCUCCAAGCUUGGUUAAUUUAUUUGGUGCAUUUUCUUUCACUAUUUUGUAUAAAAAUAUAAUUUUUUAAUUAUAUAUAUAUAAAUGUACAUGUAAAUAAGAAAAUAAAAUAAAAAUUAAAAAAAAUAUUAAUGCAUAAGAAAUAAACAUCACAAUAUAUAAAUAAUUAAAAAAACUAAACAUAUUAAAAUUAAUAUAAACAACAUAUAAACUUAAAUAAUACGUAAAUAAAUAAAUUGUUAAAGAAUAACCAAAAUUCUUUCAUCCCGCUUCAAGUUCUUUUGAUUUAUUUAUUUCAGAUUUUAUUUAAGUAGGACAUUAAAUAUUUUAAAUUUAUAGUUAUUUAAGAUUUUGAAUAAUUUAAAAAUUAUAUUUAUUAAAUAUUCAGGGUUUCAUUUUUUUAGCAAUUUUGAAUAAUUUAAGAAUAUAAUUUAUUUCGAAUUUUAUUUAAGUAGAACAUUAAAUAAUUUAGGUUUUUAUUUAUUUAGGAUUUUAAAAAAUUUAUUUGUUUUAAUUAUUAUUUAAGUAAGAAAUACAAUAAUUUAUGAUUUUGAAAAACUUUUAAUUUUAUUAAUUUUAGAUCUUUGUUUAAGAAUAAAAUUAAAUACUUUUAGAAUUUUUUAACUUUUAAUUUUUUUUUAUUUAAGAAUGACAUAAUUUUUUUUGGAUUCAUAUUAAUUUAGGAUUUUGAUUAACUUAUAUUUUUUUUUUUGUUUUAUAUUUUUAUUGAAGUAGGACAUAAAAUAGAUUUUUAGAAACUUCAAAAUUUUAUUUAUUUCAUAUUUUUAUUUAGGCAGAGUAUUCAAUAAUUUAGGAUUUGUAUAUUUAGAAGUUAGAAUAAUUUAUAAAUUGUAUUUAUUACAAAUUUUUAUUUAAGUAGGACAGUAAAUAAUUUAACUUUGUAUUUAUUAAGAUUUUGAAUAAUUUAUGAAUUUCAUUUAUUUCAAAUUUUUAUUUAUGUAUGAUAUUAAAUAAUUUAGGUAUGUAUUUAUUUAUGAUUUUGUAUAAAUUUGGAAUAUAAUUUGUUUUGGAUUUUUAUUUAAGUAGAACAUUAAAUAAUUUAGAUUUUGUAUUUAUUUAGGAUUUUGAAAAUUUUAAAAAUUUAUUUCUUUUAGAUUAUUAUUUAAGUAGGAAAUAAAACAAUUUAGGAUUUGUAUUUGUUUUGGAUUUUGGAAAACUUGAAAAUUUUAGUAAUUUUAGAUUUUUAUUCAAGAAUGACAUUGAAUUAAAUAAUUUAGAAUAUGGAUAUGGAUAAUUCACUACAGAUUAAAUUUAAAAUAACAAAGAAAAAAAAUACAUAUUACAUAGAAAUGGGAUUUGAAUUCAACACUAUUAAAUAAUGAAUAAAUUUCUAAAAUAAAUGUAAUUAAUCCUAUUUUUAUUUCUAUCAGCAACACUUUAAUAAUUUGUCAUUUUCACUAAAGAAAUACACAUGGACUUCUGCUUUUGCUUACCUGCAAAUAGAGAAAAUGUGUGUUUCUAUACGGAAAUAGGAAUAUGGAGUUGGGCAGAACAGAUUAUGCGAACUAUUGGAUAAAAUAACAAAAAAUAACUACAUAAUAUGACAAAUUAUUGAAUACAUGAAUUUGGGUUUUGCAAGUAUUUAAUGUAGCGAGUUUCUCUACGAAAACUUGAAUUUUGUGUUAGGCACAUAAAUUAAUGUCAGUACUCCACCAAUAAAAUAAAAGAACAUUACAACGGUACUUAAAAUAAGUGAACCAUAAAGUAUAAAGUAUCAAGUAUCAAUACACAUGACAAUCCAAAUUGGACAUUGAAGUCAUCAAAAAUAAUAUAAUACACAUAAGAAAGUAUCAAUCAAUACACAUCACAAUCCAAAUUGGACACUGAACUCAACAGAAAUAUCCACAAAAGCAAUAUCCUUUAACAACUUGUAUAUAACUGCAUGAUUAAUUUUUAUCAAAUUUUGUAGAACAGUAAUGUUAGUUAACUAAAAAGAAUACAACAUACCUCACCACAGAUGUUCACAGAGUUGAAUCUGCCCUUGGUUGGCAACCUAGUAUUGUCAUCCAAAUCUGAAUUUGACAUGCUAUGAAGCAAUAAAGAAAGAAUACGAAAUAGAACAUUUUGCUAAGUUACAUAAUAUAUUAUUAAUAUUACUAAUUACUAAGGUCAGAAAAAUGGAGUGAUAUUAUAAGACCCAACUUAGAAAAAUGUUGUGAGAUGACACUUAACAGUAAAAUUUAAUGAAUGUAACAAUGAAUACAUAGGAAGUGAACAUUAAAGAAUGAAAAGAAUGAGAUGAAAAUAAUGAACAGAAAAGGUAAAUGCAAGAAACACUGAACAAAAAAGAAAACAAACUGCAAAACAACGAAAAGAAUGAGAUGAACAAAAUGGUCAGAAAAGAUAAAUGCAAGAAACAAUGAACAUAAUAGAAAAAAUACAGAAAACAACAAGAAUGAUAUGAACAAAUUGAAUAGAACCAAUAAACGCAAGAAACAUUGAUAAAAAAGAAAAAAAAAACUACAGAAACCCCAAAAAAUGAGAUGAACACAAUGAACAGAAAAGGUAAAUGCAAGAAACACUGAAAAAAAAAGAAAACAAAUUGAAAAAAACAAAAAGAAUGAGAUGAACAAAUGGUUAGAAAAGCUAAAUGCAAGAAAAACUAAACAUAAUUGAAAAAAUACAGAAAACGAAACAAAAAAUGAGGUGAUGUUCUUGUCUAGAAAACACAAGCAACUAUGAUUAAAAAAACCCAAAAAAAAACAUUUUUAUGUUGGAAAAAACUUAACAAACAGAGAAGCAACAAUAUCAAUAACAGUGGAGAAAGAGAAACCGUAAAAGAGAUGAAGAAAAUCGAUAAAACAUCAAAACACAAGCAACUUUGAUAAGAAGAAAAAAAUCAUUGUUAUGUUGUGAAACAACAUAACAAAGACAAAAGCAACAAUAUCAAGAAAAAUGGAGCAAAGAAACCGUAAAAGAGAUGAAGAAAAUUGACAAAAACAUCAAAAGCAAGAAACUUUGAUAAGAGAACCCAAAAUAAAUCAUUUUUAUGUUGCGAAAAAACAUAACAAACAGAGAAACAACAAUAUCAAGAUCAUUGGAGCAAAGAAACCGUAAAAGAGAUGAAGAGAAUCGGCAGAAACAUCAAAAGGAAACAACUUUGAUAAGAAAACAAAAAAAAACAUUUUUAUGUUGUAAAAAAUAUAACAAACACUAACACGUACAUUGCGGAAAAAAAAAAUAACACGUAAAAAACAUGUCAGAUAAAAAAUAAACUGAAAAACGAAAUGAUAAAAAUAAGAUGAAGAAACGGUAUAACAGAUUACCUCGUCCAUGGAGAAUGAAAAUAAGAAAACUGAUCAGAAAUGAAAAAUGGUUCUAUACAACACAAUAUAUAGUGAAAAAAAAAUCGUCAUUUCCAUUUCAAAUUUCAAAAGCACGCGCCAUUUCUACAUAUGUUUAAUGGUGUUUUUAGGCAAAAAUGCUUUCUAAUGCAACAUCUCUGCAGUUGCCGAAAUGGUGAAAAAGAGUAAAGGAAAAAAUGAGAGAAGGGAUGCCGAAGAUUGAGAUGAAGGGUUGGAUUAGGGUUUGAGAGAGAAAAGGGGUAGCGGUUUGAGAGAGAAGAGAGUGAUAGAGUGUUAGGAGAGAGAGAGAGAGAGAGAGAGAGAGAGAGAGAGAGAGAGAGAGAGAGAGAAAGAAAAGAGAUAUGGAGACAUGAGAGAGAAACUAGUUCAUUCAUAAACUGCAUACAUUGACAAGCGUAUUAUAUGUAUAUAUAACACAUAUAUGUAACAAUAUCCUAACUAUCUAACACCCCCCUCUUUAAACUUAUGGUGUUGGACAUCUAACCAUAAGUUUAGUUCUGAAAGCAGUAAAUGAAGAUUUGGAGGUGGGUUUUGUUAGAAUAUCAACUACUUGAAACCAUGCCGAAUGAUGAACGAGACAGACGUGCUGUUGUUGAACAUGAUCCCUGACAAAGUGGAUAUCAAGUUCAAAAUGCUUGGUGCGUGAGUGCAUAACAGGAUUGGCACUAAACAAGACUACACCGAGAUUAUCUUAAAAAGAGCUGAGGUUCAGUAGAGUGUAUGAGGAGUUCAUGGAGUAAGGAUUGUAACCAGAGAACCUCAGUAAGCACAAAAAUAAUGCUUCUAUAUUCCGCUUCAGUACUGCUUCGAGAAACUACACGUUGUGUGAGAGGACCAAACAACCAGGUUUAAGCCAAGAUACACACAAUACCCUGUGGUAGAUUUUUGAUCAUCCAUAUCACUUCCCCAGUCAGCAUCACUAAACACAAGAAUGAUGGGAGAAGAGUUGUGUUUGAUAAGGAGCUCAUGCGAGGAUGUUCCCGCAAGAUACCCGAGUAUUCGUUUCACAACUUUCUAGUGAUUUUCUUGAGGAUCGUGCUUGAACUGGCAGACUUUGUUGACGAUGAAUGCAAGUUUAGGACGAGUAAUAAGGAUGUAUUGUAGAGUGCCUACAACUGAACGGUAUAAGGUUGGGUCAUUCAUUGCAGAGGAUGCGUCUUGUUGAAGUCUAAGAGUAGACUCCAUGGGUGUUGGAAGAGGGUUGGUAGAGAGCAUGUUUGUAUGGCGAAGAAGAUCAGUAAUGUAUUUUCUUUGAGACAACAAUAAAUCUGCAUUUUGGAGACAAGUGACUUCAAUGCCAAGAAAGUAGUGUAUAUGGUCAAGAUCCUUCAACGCAAAGCAUUCACUGAGUUGGGAGAUCAGGGUGGUGAUUUCGUGUUUUGAAGAUCCUGUGAUGAUGAUUUCGUCAACAUAGAUUAACACAUAUAUUGUAUAUGAAGGCAUAAACUUAACAAAUAAAGAUGUAUCACUUUUGGUUGUAUAAAAACCCAAGGAUUGGAGAGUGGAACUUAAAUUUUGGAACCAGGAUCGUGGAGCUUGCUUUAACCCAUAAAGAGUUUUUUGAAGUUUGCACACAAGGUUAGGAGAUGCUGAUUCAAAACCUAGUGGUUGCUUCAUGUAGACAUCUUCUUGAAGAUCACCAUUUAGAAAUGCAUUAUUCACAUCUAUUUGAUGGAUGGGCCAGGCAGAGGUGACAACAUGUGAGAGAACAACACAUAUAGCGGAUGGCUUGACAACUGGACUGUAUGUUUCAUUAUAAUCAUAACCUGUAAUUUGAGUAAAACCUUAUGCAAACAGGCGUGCUUUAU